UACGAAGGGGACUAGCGUUGUUCGGAAUCACUGGGCGUAAAGUGCACGUAGGCGGAUGUGUCAGUCAGGGGUGAAAUCCCGGGGCUCAACCUCGGAACUGCCUUUGAUACAGCACGUCUCGAGUCCGGAAGAGGUGGGUGGAAUUCCUAGUGUAGAGGUGAAAUUCGUAGAUAUUAGGAAGAACACCGGUGGCGAAGGCGGCCCACUGGUCCGGUACUGACGCUGAGGUGCGAAAGCGUGGGGAGCAAACAGG
rnacentral:rRNA from 1 species